UACGAAGGGGGCUAGCGUUGUUCGGAAUCACUGGGCGUAAAGCGCACGUAGGCGGAUCUUUAAGUCAGGGGUGAAAUCCCGAGGCUCAACCUCGGAACUGCCUUUGAUACUGGGGAUCUCGAGUCCGGGAGAGGUGAGUGGAACUGCGAGUGUAGAGGUGAAAUUCGUAGAUAUUGGGAAGAACACCGGUGGCGAAGGCGGCCAUCUGGACCGGCACUGACGCUGAGGCGCGAAAGCGUGGGGAGCAAACAGG
rnacentral:rRNA from 1 species